GGGCAUUUACAUAUUUUUAAACAUAUGUACAUUGUUCAUUUGUAAUGAAAGAUCUACACGUGUGUACAUGUACAUGUACGAUCCUGUUUCUUUAAACCAGGGGCCUGUUUCAUAAAGAUUUACAACUGUUGUAACUUUGCAAUUAUGGCAACUACCAUGGCAACACUGAACAGGGCUCAGCAGCCAAUCAAAAUCAAGGAUACCAUGGUACAAUGUAGUUGCCGUAAUGGCAAAGUUACAACAGUUGUAACUCUUUAUGAAACAGGCCCCAGGAGAUCUCCCUGUUUAAUCCAAAAUAUGCAUGUACUGUCAAAGUGAAUAUAUAUGCAAAUGAGAAAAGGAUUAUCGUACUAUCGUCAAACAAAAUAUUAGUCUUUAACGUGUACAGGACUACAUGAACCUGGCCAUCUUUCAAAAGAUUUGUUUUCACUUCAGUUUUAUAUUUGAAUUCUCAGAUUAAUUGAUGAUAUUGAUUUGAUGGUCCACACUUGUGCUACUGGGCUUAAUAUUUUACCUGAGACAGUCCAUAACCACUCAUAUUCAAAAUGGGGAAGGGCAUAUUCUGUGUUGUAAUAACCAUUGGGCUCUGUAGUGACUGAUUGUGCGAUAAAAUAAUUCUGAAUGAUGAUAUACAAUCAAUCUGGCAUUUGAAUCAAGUCAUUAGCUAUGUUGGGAAAAACAUGAUUAUGGAGAAAUUUAAUCUAUUUUUUUGGGGGGAAGGAUGUUUAUAAAGGAAAAGGAAAAAAAUCAAAUUAGCAGAUGGAUGAAAUAAUAUUUGAAAAUAACUGACAAAAGAGAGAAAGUUUAAAUUAAAAAAAAAUUGUUGUUUGGUGAAUUCAACUUGGCUUCAUUGUUGGGUACCGGUAUGUCUAUGGUGGGGACUACUCCAUUUUUAGCUCCAAAUCAUUUUCCAGGACAAAAUUUUUAUGAUCAUUUUCAUCGGUUGGGUGGGAGGGGGUGCUUAGAAAAAACGACCAGUUUUCCCUCCAUACACCACAAUUCGACACCAAAUUGCCAGUUUGAGAUUUGCAUAAUCUAGUAAUUAUACAUGUACAUGUAUGUUUUAAACAGCCUUGAGAAUUGAGACUAUUUUUCUGAUUUCUUCCGAGCUUUCAUUCCAUUUUUCUUUUUCCUCCAUUCAUAUUUUACCAAUGGAGGUUCCCCCUUUUUUAUUAAAUCUGUCAAUUGUAAUGUAAUUCUAAAUCAGUUAUGAACUGAACAAAAGUACACUGUUCUUUUUUCUUACAUCAGAUUCGACUUACAUGCACUCUCAUGCUAGGUUGAUUGUUCGUGUACUGUACUUGCAUUGGUGCUGUGUGCGGGAGAGAAUGAAACAAAUAUUCCCCUCACCCUCAAAAAUAUAAACAUUUAAUUAUUCAGCUACACUACUGGUACUUUUCUCCACAUACAUGUACAUGUACCUUUAUUGAUAUCCUUUUUUUUUUUGUAAAUGAAAUCUGGUUUUCAUGUCCGAAAUUUCCUUCCAGACACUUGAACUUUUUCAUUGUCAAAUUAUCCAGUAGAUCUUCUUUGUUCAACACUUGCAUGUACACAAGAGGAUGAGUGAUGUAAUUGCAAGCUUUUCCAUGCAGUAAAAUUUGUUUGGAAGGAAAGUAGGAUCUGAAGGGAUUAAGGAAAGAAGAUUUAGAGGAAUGACUUGGAAUAUUGUGUGUGUGACUACUGUAUGUGUGAUAGAUUGAGUGGUCCAAGGAUGCCAGAGCCAGGGUGUGGUAGGGAUUGGUUGGGAGGUUCUCUUUCCCCCUAUAUAGGUCCAGAGAUACCCGAAGUAUUGGUGGUCCAGGUAGUACACCACUACUAAUCUCCUACCAAAGGUUCAUCCCAAGACUUCCAUAGAAAUAGGCCAAGAGGGGCCCAUUGGACCUUUGCCACUGUAGCUACGCCAUCCAUUCCAUCCAUGGUGAAGCUGAUUGAAGCAUUCUCUGACCCUGUUCCAUGCUUCAUAAUGCCAUUGACUCCUCUGCACGGUGUACCCAACUGAAAAAGAGACUAGGAUUUUUAAAUCCACAUCAACAACCCAAUGGCAUUUGUAGCGUGUGGAACUUUGCCAAAUGUCCACUUGAGUUCCUUACCCAUGUUACCAAUCCUCUAAGAGAUCAAUGACACUCCAAAAGGUACAUGUACCAAUGCCAAACUCCAGUUAAUGGAAUUCUUGCCAUCACUGAACAUUUUUACCCAACUGUGAUCAUCUUGUCCUACAAACUAUACUCUACCAUCCACUGCACAGGCCACUCUAAUAGUCAAGUGGUCUGUGGUGUUUCGCUACCACAGAUGGGGGCCCAAAGUCUGAUCUGACCAUCCAUCUACAUAAUCUACCCAUUCGUCCAUCAGUCCGUCCCAUGGAUUACAUUCCGGUUCAGGUCCAUGUCCUUCAUUUUCUGCAUGUGGACCUGCCCAUGCCAUUUGUGACCUUGUCCGAUACAUCCCGCUCCAGUCCGGUCCAAUGAGCCCAUUCCAAUAAUCUUCAAUUGAUGUGCCCCGGAUGCAGCUUAGGGGAACAUUCUGGAGCCAUCUUGGACCUUCUGGCCAUCCUAGUUGCAGUGUAGGUGCAUGGUUUAGGAGCCUCUUUGCCUCUUGAGUUGAUGGGAUGAGAUGACGAGAGCUACCAAUGUCUGCAAGUUUUCUUGAGGCGGAACGGAGGAAUGCUGAAGAAUGUCAGAUUCCUUUGUGUGAAAGGAUUGACAGGUCUUUCUAGCAACGGAUGAUGUGCAGUGACUCCAGGAAAAUGCAAGAAACAAAUGGUAUACAGGCUCUAUGUACUUGCCAAGCAGCAUAACUGAAGAAAAUGUGUCUACUGAUCACAUUUUGAGUCCGCAGGGUGUAGAGCAAGAAAAGUAAACCCAUUAAUACUCUAAAAGUGGUGAUAUACUCAUUCUAUCAACAAGAAAAUCAGGAAAUCACUUCAUUCAAAGUAAAAUUUAAAUGAAAUUCACCAAGUAUGCAGCAAUGGUAUAGAUUUGUGUAUUCGACUGGAAAGUGUACAUUACAGAUUUCAUAUCAAGCAGAUUAUUCCGAAACGAUUAGCCAAAACAGAACUGAAAUCAUUGUAAUUCAAUUUAUUAUAGAAGAUAUUCCAGAUACAAUAUAAACUAAUGUAUUCAGAUAUUCAAUCUCUCUCAUCUAUCUAUUCUAUCCUCAUUCCCUCUCUCCCUCACCCCCCCAUGCACAUUUGUUUUUCUUUCCUUAAUCUUUUUUUUUUUGGCUAACUUUAUGACUUAACACCUAGUAUUUUCUCUUUAAUUUCUGAGUUUUCUCUCAUCCACUAUCCCUUUGUCUGUUUUGUAUAUUUUCUAGGCUUUGUCUUGUCAUGCAUGAGAGAUAUUUAAGUGAAAUAAUAAAGCAAGCACAAUGAUAAAACACACAUAAAUCAUUGCCCUAGUCCCUUUUUUCCUUUGUUUUGUGAAACACAGCUGCAACUUGCAAACUCUACUACAAUACUACUUAUUUUGCUUCUAGAAGAUCAACCCUAAAAUGGUGGGAGAAGCGAUUGGCCACCCUUUUUCCCACUCACCUUGGCCUUUUGGCCAGUAUUUCUGCAAUGUUUCUUUUUAUUGAAUAGGCACGUUUUAUUGGAAAACAUGGAUACACCUAUAUAUAAGAUUUUUUUUUUCUUUUCAGUUGAUGAAUUAAUGAAAUACACUUAAACAUAACAAUCCAAGUUUUAAAGGACAUUUAAUGAUAAUCCAGCAUUCCAAAAUUAACAAUUUUUUGCUUCUGUAAAUGGUUAACGGUACAUUUAAGAUUUGUACACAAAAUUAAGAGUCCUUUCCAACUAAAAGCUGAUUUGAAAAAAGAGAAACAUCAGACAUAUGCUGAAAUUUUUUGUUGAAAUUGGAUUUAAAGUGGAAAGUUGUGACAUUACUGUAAAGUUUGCUACAAAUUGUGAUAUGCUCAUCCUGAGCAUAAUGCAUAUUAGGAAACUGAUGUCACAGACCAUUUUAUUUUGUUGCUAUUUUACUGUAUGAAAAUAUAUUUUAAUUCUUUCUUCAUUUUUGUGUAAAAACCUUCGUCUGGGUUUCAUUACUCAUGGAAAAUGACAAGUCAGGAUUUGAUAGAGAUCCUCUAUAACAUUAAAUCAAUAAAAAUGGAAAUAUUCAUAUUUCAUGUAAGAAAUAUCAAGUAUGUGACAUCAUCAGCUCCUUCAUUUCCAUAGUACUGAUCAGGAUUUAAUCUUUUGUGUAUUUAAUUCAAAGCAUUGAAAUGUCAUAAUUUUUUUAGUUAACCAGUAAAUCAGAUUUUGAUGAAA